GAGUAGGGCUACACACGUGCUACAAUGGCGUAUACAAAGAGAAGCGACCUCGCGAGAGCAAGCGGACCUCAUAAAGUACGUCGUAGUCCGGAUUGGAGUCUGCAACUCGACUCCAUGAAGUCGGAAUCGCUAGUAAUCGUAGAUCAGAAUGCUACGGUGAAUACGUUCCCGGGCCUUGUACACACCGCCCGUCACACCAUGGGAGUGGGUUGCAAAAGAAGUAGGUAGCUUAACCUUCGGGAGGGCGCUUACCACUUUGUGAUUCAUGACUGGGGUGAAGUCGUAACAAGGUAACCGUAGGGGAACCUGCGGUUGGAUCACCUCC
rnacentral:rRNA from 1 species